rnacentral:rRNA from 1 species
UACGUAGGUGGCAAGCGUUGUCCGGAUUUACUGGGCGUAAAGGGUCUGUAGGUGGCCAACUAAGUCAGACGUGAAAUCCCUCAGCUUAACUGGGGAACUGCGUCUGAUACUGGAUGGCUCGAGUGUGGGAGAGGAAUGCGGAAUUCCAGGUGUAGCGGUGAAAUGCGUAGAUAUCUGGAGGAACACCGGUGGCGAAGGCGGCAUUCUGGACCAUAACUGACACUGAGAGACGAAAGCCAGGGGAGCAAACGGG